rnacentral:lncRNA from 1 species
AGGCGAGGUCCGCGUCAACUGCAGGAAAGUGAACUACUACUAGAGCAAGAUGCAUGGCCGGAUGCUUAAUCAAAUGAGUCCUAAAAUUCAUAUUUUCUCUUGUUGUUGAUUGUGGCUUAGCUCUUUUAAUUCAUUUUGUGUGAAUGGGAUUUGUAAGUACAGUACUCAAUGUAUUUCAAUGCUCUGGUGUUCUACGAUUUCCGUUUCCUCUUGUAAUAGCGACAAUUUCAAAAUUUAAAUGCGCUCAGUUUUUGUAUGCACAGCUGACAUUCUCAUGGAAAAACGAGGG